GACGAACGCUGGCGGCGUGCUUAACACAUGCAAGUCGAACGGAAAAGGCCUGCCUUGGUGGGGUGCUCGAGUUGCGAACGGGUGAGUAACACGUGAGUAACCUGCCCGGUACUGGGGGAUAACUUCAGGAAACGGGAGCUAAUACCGGAUAGGAGCUCCUGUUGCAUGGUGGGGGUUGGAAAGGUUCGGCGGUUGGGGAUGGACACGCGGUUGAUCAGCAUGUUGGUGGGGGAGGGGUUUACCAUGGCGUUGGCGGGUAGCCGGCCUGAGAGGGUGACCGGCCACAUUGGGACUGAGAUACGGCCCAGACUCCUACGGGAGGCAGCAGUGGGGAAUAUUGCACAAUGGGCGGAAGCCUGAUGCAGCAACGCCGCGUGCGGGAUGACGGCCUUCGGGUUGUAAACCGCUUUCGCCUGUGACGAAGCGUGAGUGACGGUAAUGGGUAAAGAAGCACCGGCUAACUACGUG
rnacentral:rRNA from 1 species